ACCUACCAUACAGUGGGGGAUAACCAGAAGAAAUUCUGGCUAAUAUCGUAUACGAAGUACAAAUUUGAAAGUAGUGCUUGAAAGGAUGCUUCGGCAUUCACUGUUUGAUGGGCCUGCGUAGCAUUAGUUUGAUGGUGGGGUAACGGCCUACCAUGACUACGAUGCUUAGCUGGUCUGAGAGGAUGAUCAGCCACACUGGAACUGAGACACGGUCCAG
rnacentral:rRNA from 1 species